UACGGGGGGGGCAAGCGUUGUUCGGAAUUACUGGGCGUAAAGGGCUCGUAGGCGGCCAACUAAGUCAGACGUGAAAUCCCCAGGCUCGACCUGGGAACUGCGUCUGAUACUGGUUGGCUUGAAUCCGGGAGAGGGAUGCAGAAUUCCAGGUGUAGCGGUGAAAUGCGUAGAUAUCUGGAGGAAUACCGGUGGCGAAGGCGGCAUCCUGGACCGGCAUUGACGCUGAGGAGCGAAAGCCAGGGGAGCAAACGGG
rnacentral:rRNA from 1 species